rnacentral:misc_RNA from 1 species
CACUGUUCUCCGGGUGCACGGAGUGGCGGCAUCCAACAUCACCUCCACCUCUUCCUGCUCUCACUGAGUGUACCGGUGGGCACGCGGGGGGUGGUGGUGGUGUUGUGUCGCCCACAAAACACAGGCGCAUGCACGCGUGCACACUCUAGUUUCCAUCCUUCGACCCGCCGCUGCGCCAUGGCACUUCUCCCUUCUUCUUCUUUGUCCAGUUCGGAUCCGAUGCGGUGCAUCGCGCACAUUGACAUGGACUGCUUCUACGCUCAGGUGGAGGCGGUGCGCCUCGGCGUGGACUGCCGCGUGACGCCUCUCGCGCUUUCUCAGUGGGGCAGCCUCAUCGCGGUGAACUACCCGGCCCGUGCGCGUGGGGUGAGGCGAUUCAGCAACGUGUCGGAGGCGCAGGCACUGUGCCCUGGACUCAUUGUUGCGCUUUCACCCAGCUAUCGCAUGGGCGAGUCUGUGAGCCAGUACCACCCGCAUCCCGUGCAGGACUCCUACAAGAUAUCUCUAGAGCCGUACCGACACGCGAGCCGACAGGUUUUCUCUAUCCUCGCUGCAACUCCAGGAGUACAAGUUGAGAAAGGCAGCGUGGAUGAGGCGUACGUUGACGUGACGGAGGCGGCGCGACAGGAACUGGCGGAGGUGCGUGCUGCCGCCGCGGGUGCCUCGCUGGACCCGCUGGCGGACGUGAUGGAGCCGUCGACGCGGCUGAUUGAGGACCGGCGCGCGGAGAUGGAGGCCUGGUUCAGCGCUCGCGGGACGUCGCUGGCUGCUGUGUUCGACGAGCCGAUGCGCGCCCUGGUGCGUGGCGAGUGCGGCGCUGAGCUGGAGGGAAGCCGCGCAUUCUGCGUUGGCGUGGACGACGCUGCGUACGCGGAGCGGUGCCUGCUGCUGUGCGCUGCAUCGCGCGUUGUGCACCGGCUGCGGCAGCGCAUCUACGCGGAGCUGCAUUACGACUGCUCUGCUGGGAUCGCGCACAACCGCGUGCUUGCGAAGUGCAUCAGCGCGACGCACAAGCCGAACCAGCAGACGCUGCUGCUGCCUGACCGGAGCGCGAGUGCGCUGUUUGAGCUGCCGCUGAGUGGGCUGCGCGGGUUUGGUGGCAAGCUCGGCGCCGCUGUGAGCGCUGUGUGCGGCGGUGUGACGGAGUGCCGCGAGGCGUGGCUUGUGCCGCUUGCGCAGCUGUGCAAGCUUGACGGGACGUGUGAUGUGGGCGACGGCGCGGAUGCUGAGGGUGACAGGGAGGGGCGAAAGCGUCGACCAAUAGCCGGGAAACGGGGGCGAACGGCCUCACCAUUCCUGGAGAGGGACCUCCAAGGCUUGGUUGCACACACCACAUCGCAGUACGUCUUUUACCGCUUGCGCGGCCUGGCCGAAGACACAAUCUUGAACCGCCCUUUGUCCAAGACCAUCAUCGCGUCCAAGAACUUCGGGCGCAUCACUACCUCCGUGGAGAUGGUGCGGCGCUGGGUCAUCGUCUUGACCAGUGAGCUGUGCUCCCGCUACGAGGAGUUCACCGCUCUAUACCACAUACGAGGGCGCAGCUUCAACAUCAAGCUCGGCAAUGACGGGUUCCGGAGUACGGGCGGUCUGUCAAACCAUACCGUCGCGCUACCGGAGGCCAUGCAGCCGGACAUACUGGCCGCGGUGGCCAUGCGGGAGGUGCAGGCGGUGUUCCGCAACAAGCCGGGCGCCGCGGCGGACUCCGUGACCUUGACGAUCGGCGGCUUCGUCUCGGACGGCUCCGGCGCGACUGGCUCGGUGCUCCCUCUCGCUGCCACUCCUGGCGAUAGUACCAGUGCUGGUCAGCGGCGAGCCGCGCGAGGGCAUCUGCGCCAGCAGACGCUCCUGGCUUCCUUCUUAGCUGCUUCAGCUACUGACGGUGGGGCUGCUAGUGCAAUGCAUCAGCGGAGCGGCUGUAACGUGGCGGAGGUGCUCAGCAGUGAUGGGAACGGGUUGGACGACUCCGACAGCAACGGCUCCGUGCACAUCGAGGACGAUGCCGCUAUCCUCUCUUUCUCCUCACAUAGUCUGAGCUCCAACGGUGGCGGCACGAGCACCGUAGUGCUGAUGGACCGAACUCCUCCGCUGGCUGAGCGUGAUGUCGUGCCAGAGACGCGUCGCGUGGCUAAGGUGCGGGCGCUGGAUGUGUGCAAGAGCUCGCCAUGCGAGGUAGCAGGCGCAGCAUCAUCACCACAAACGCCGCUCUUCUGCUCCCCGCUCCCAGCUGGCAAGGCAGCGACUGAGGAGCGCCAAGGGGAGAGCUGCGAUGCUACUGAGCAUCAUGAAGAACCCCAACGUCAUCUCGGAGGCAACCACCACAUUGUACCACAGCCGCCGCCAUCAGCACUGGCACUGCCAUUUUUAACAGCACCUCCAUCAUCACCUGCGCUUGCCAACACCGUCGAAGUGGUCGAAGACAACGGCGGUGUGGAGGGCGAAGAUGGUGUAACGAUCAUCGACUGAGCCGGGCACACGUACUAGCUCAACACCUUCUGCAGCUUAUUUCGGCUCUGUCACGCUCCCACGACAUGUGCAUCUCCUCCAGCAUACCUGCACGUUUUCUUAUUGGUCGAAUCGACGAGGCGUGCGUGAGUGGGAGAAGGUAUAGAGGAGAGAAGCGGUACGCCGAACGCAUCACGGGGUGGCCGUGAGGAAUGUGCAUCUCUUUCCCCCUGUGUGUGUACGUGUGCAUGCGUGUGCGUGCAUGUGGGAUGGUUCACCACUGCUCCAGUGCUGCUGUUCUUUCCAUGCACUUUGUGCGGUGCACAGCCACGACUAAAAAAUGUGAAACCCGCGGCGAGAGCAGCGCAGAGAGGGAGAGUGCAGCAAUACUCUCUGUCAGAGACGUGGGUGGAGCGACUGCGGAACGCUGUGAGUGCGCACACUCAUGCACACGUGCACGUAUUCCACCACUACCGCUCUCCACCACCCUGCUCAGAUCGGAUGAGUCGGGGCGCGCGGGCAGGUGCCGGAGUGUCGCCGCACCAGGAUUGUACAAGAAUGUACACCCAUGUGUUGGUGAGUGUCCAAUUGGAGACCUCGCCACGUCCCCAUUCCUGUACGAGUCCACUGCCUCCCCGUUCCGCUUUCACUUUCUCGCGGCGCCUUGAUGGUCACUGUUGGAUAAG